CCCGGCGGCGGCUCGCACCAAAACAGUUCAUGUUUUGAUGCAUCCAUACGAGCGCUUCCCAGUCGAUUCAAUGCAUCCAUGUUCGCGUUCGGUUCGGCGGCCAAAACAGUCGCCGUGUGCUCCGUCAGGCAUCAGCAUCAGGCUUCCCAAUCGAAAAAUGUGCAUCAGCAUCAGGCUUGUCCGUUAGUUAAGUUCAAAGAGGCAUUCCAUACCAGCGCGCAACAUCAUUCAGAUAUCCCACCACUACUCCUUGUUUCUAGUAUAAAUAAAUGUGCAUCCAAGUCACUCAUGAGGAGCAACAAGCUGGAGUAGCUAGCAACUCGAGGGAUGAAGACUAGUUGAUAGGCUAGCUUUCUCCUUCUGUGCCACUCAUAAAACAACAGCUAGGUAGCACCUUUUUGUUG
rnacentral:misc_RNA from 1 species